rnacentral:lncRNA from 1 species
CAUUUAUGAGUUAGUUUGAUUAGAUUAUGUCACAUAUACAUGUAUUACAAUUAAGGGACACUUGCGAAAAUGGCAAAAUAAGUUAUAAUAAUUAAGUCCAUAGAACACAUACUUUAUUAUUUGAGAAAGUGACAAAAACAAAGACCAACUGUAACGACCCAACUUUUCUAGGUAAGUCGAGGUCGUUAAUUUUUGACAAAAGACUUUGGUUGAUACAAAAUGAAAUGUAAGCCAAUUGAAAAACAACUUUAAGUCAGGCCUGAUUUUCAAAUAUUCCAAAAACUUAAAAAAAGUACUAUUUACAAAUAAAAGUUUGUAAGCUAAGUUUCAAUACAACGUCUUAAACCUAAAACAAACAAUAAGCGGAAGCAAAAUAACACAUUUCCUAUGGCAAUCACACUUCCUUCCUGCCCCUCGCCGGUUUGCCGCCUUUAUUACCUUUGCCUGAAAAUUAAACAUAAGAAGGGUGAGUAUAAAAAUACCCAGUAAGAGACCCUCUACUGGUCCCGUCAGGGGAAAAAUAAAUUGUUAACAUUCUAUUGGGACACCCUGUACAGUCGCAGUCUUGUGAUCCCGUAGGAUGCACAUUUCAGUCUAACGCCCGAGGACGUACAUUUCAGUGUAGUGUUCUGCAGAAACACAUAUCAGUCUAAUGCUCCCGAAGGUGCAGAAUAAUUGGUGAUCCCGUGGGACACCUACAAGGCACACAUCCCAAUAAAAGCUAACAAUUUUUCCCCUCAAUCCAUUCGUACCAUCUUUCAGUUACUUCAAAAUAUAAAGUUCUUUCACUCAACGUUCUAACAGUCAACUUAUCUCACUUUAGCCCAAUGUCUGUCAGUAACAUACUAAUACGUCAGUCAAUCAAACUAUAUAGUCAUAACGCCUCUCAGUUCACCAGCACACAGUCAUACUUUAGUAUAACGUACACCCAGUCUAAACGACAAUCACAAGUUCACAUCCGCAUCUCAUACAAACACAAUCUACAAUUGUCGUCCUGUCUACAUCCACACACAUAUAUAUAUAUUCCAAGACAAUCACAAUAUGCAUUCAACAUCAAGUCUACUUCAAUCCAUGUGUAUAUAUAUAUUUUCAGUCAUCCACAGUAUACAUUCAACACCGAACCUACAUCCAUACGUAUAUAUAUAUUGUCUCAACACAUUUACUCAAUCAGAGGUGACUAACAUUACAAUUCAAAAGCAUAGGUGAGUCCAGUAGAAAAUAAAAUCCCUUACCUCACUUUUAUGCAAGUUCUUCAAUCUACUAAAUCCAAUGAAUCAAAUCCUAAACAUAAUCAAUCAUAAAAUCAACAUCUUUCUAAAUAGUUUCAACCAUUCAAAUUACCCCAUAUGUAAAUUCCACAACUUACCCAAGAAGUGGAAAAUCAAGUCCACUUCAACCUUUUGGAAAAUCAAGGAUUCGCUCACUGAAUCAAGAUGUACCUUCAAGAAUUAAGCAUUUCGCCAACAAUUAAAUCCAAUGGCAGCAUUCAACAAAAACCAAGAAACCAACAAAAACCAUAACUUGUUCUUACCCAAAUAUGAGCCCAAUGGUUCACGGCGAGGCAAAAAUGACAAUCAAGAACGAAUCAAGCGGCUGUAAAUAGAGCAACACUGAAUGCGACUCAACUGGAAAAGAAAAUCGGCUUCAAAUCGUAACUCCGUCUUACAACGAGCAGAAGAACGUCGACUUGAUAGGGGACACGUAAUUUAGGAAGAGAUCGACUUGGAUCCGUGUAUGACUUCACGAGAUGUAUGCGUCGACGGCUUCACGGAGGUGAAGACAGACGCGGUCGGAGAGUCACGCGGCAGUGCAGAAAACGGAGGAGAAAGGAACGGGCGGCGGCUGGCUUGGCUUCGACGGAGACAGAGAUUGCGCAGCAGGGCUUCACGAACGGAGAGGAAAGGAAUGGGCACGGCGAUGCAGAUCUGGACGACUGCUGCAAGGUGACGCGUACGGCACUUCACGAACCGGCCGACGGUUGCAGCGACGGAUCUGGGUUAUGGCGAACUGCAAGGGUGAAGCACAAGCGACGGCGAGGACCUGGACGGCUCGGCGAUGCAGAUCUGGAUGACGAUUUGCUUUCCGAGGGAGGCACGACGGUUGUGAGCGGAGAGGCACGGUGGUUGUGAGCGGAUGGGCGCGGCGGUUUCGAUCCGAAGGAGAAAAGGAAGACGACCGGAAAGAAGAAGAAGAAACGACCGGCAGCUUGUGUGGCCGACUGGGUGAACGGAGAAGAGAGGGAUGUGCGGCUGCUAGGGUACGGGAAGGAGAAAGGGAUGGAGGACGCACGGGAGGAAGAAGGAAGGAAAAAUUUCUUUUUUCUUUUCUUUUAUUUAAAUAAUAAAAAUAAAACUAAAAUAUAAAUAAAUAUAUAUAUAAUAAAUUUCUUUUUCUUUUCUUUUAUUUAAACUAAAUAAUAAAACUAAAAUAUAAAUAUAUAUAUAUAAUUAUAUUAUCACAUUUUCAAAUCUUCUUUCCCCCUUCAACAUAUUUUCUUCAAAACAAUAAAUCUUGUACAAAUCGAAAAAAUCUCUUAAAAUAAAAUACCUUCGAGUUUGGGGCGUUACAUUCUUCCUCCUUAAGGCGAAAGUUCUAAUCCUAAAUAACUCUUGAUAACGAGUCCUCAUCUCUUCUUCUCGCUCCCAUGUCGCCUCUUCAAUUCGAUGAUUCCGCCACAAAACCUUUACUAAUGGAAUGCUUCUAUUACGAAGCAUCUUUACCUCUCUAGCGAAUCUCCACAGGUUGUUCUACAUAGCUCAAAUGCUCAUCAAUCUCCAAGGUUCAUAGUCCACGACAUGAGAUGUAUCGGCCACAUACUUCCUCAACAUCGAAACAUGGAAAACAUUAUGGACUGCAGAGAGUGAUGGUGGUAAUGCCAAGCGAUACGCCACAACACCAACCCUCUCUAAGAUCUCAAAUGGUCCAACAAAACGAGGACUUAACUUCCCUUUCUUCUCAAAACGCAUAACACCCUUCAUAGGUGCUACCUUCAAGAAUACCUUUUCUCCCACAUCAAACUUAAGGUCUUUUCGCCGUACAUCUGCAUAACUCUUUUGUCUACUCUGCGCUGUUUGCAUACGUGCUCUAAUCUUUUGAAUAGCCUCAUUAGUAGACCGAACUAAUUUAGGUCCCAUCAACCUCUGUUCACCAACCUCACUCCAACAAAUAGGGGUUCUACAACAUUUACCAUACAAAGCCUCAAAUGGUGCCAUACCGAUGGUAGCCUGGAAACUGUUGUUAUAAGCAAACUCCAUCAAAUGUAGAUGAGAGUCCCAACUACCUGGAAACUCUAGAACACAAGCUCGUAGCAUAUCCUCUAAAACUUGGUUCAAACGUUCAGUUUGACCAUCAGUUUGUGGAUGAAAGGCUGUACUGAAAUCUAAUCUCGUACCCAUAGCAGUCUGAAGUCCCUUCCAAAACUUGGAAGUAAACCGUGCAUCCCUGUCAGAAACAAUCGAUACAGGCACUCCAUGCAGUCUCACAACCUCAGUUAAAUACAACUGUGCCCACUUACUAGCAGUAUAAGUGGAUUUCCCUGGUACAAAAUGUGCGAUUUCGUAAGCCUGUCUACAACAACCAAAAUCACUGUGAAACCCUUCAGGGUCUUAGGCAGCCCUGAAAUAAAAUCCAUCGACACAUUCUCCCACUUCCACUCUGGCACACUUAAAGGUUGUAACAAACCUGCUGGUUUCUGUCUAGGUGCCUUAACCUGCUGACAUACUAGACACUUACUAACGAAUUCCGCCACUUCCCUUUUCAUAUUCCGCCACCAAUAAAAUCGUUUUAGAUCCUGAUACAUUUUCGUACUACCAGGAUGCAUGGAAAAUGAAGAAUUAUGGGCUUCAUCUAGUAAGUCAAUCUUAGCUGCACUGUUCGCUGGCACACACAAACGUCUCUCAAACAUCAAUCCACCAUCAGAGGAUAUGGAGAACUCAUCAGUCUGCUCUGUUCCAACAAGGCGACGUCUCUCCAUCAAAUAAGGAUCAUUACUCUGAGCAUCAACAAUCUUCUGCCUCAGAGUCAGUUGCACCGUUAAUUGAGCUAACUGUGAGGUGACUCUCCCCACAGAUACUACAAUCUCAGCUCUCUCCAAGUCUCGAUGUAAUGGUACCUGUCUAGUAAUGAGUGCUGCCGAAUGUGAUACUUUUCUACUAAGAGCAUCAGCCACCACAUUCGCCUUACCAGGAUGGUACAAUAUCUCACAGUCAUAAUCCUUUACCAACUCGAGCCACCUUCGCUGUCUCAUAUUCAACUCCUUCUGAGUGAAGAAGUACUUCAGGCUCUUAUGGUCAGUAAAGAUUUGUAUCUUUUCACCGUACAAAUAAUGUCUCCAUAUCUUCAAUGCAAAAACCACUGCUGCCAACUCCAAAUCAUGUGUGGGGUAGUUCUGCUCGUGACUCUUCAACUGACGAGAGGCAUAAGCAACCACCUUACCUUUCUGCAUCAAAACACAACCCAGUCCUUUCUUGGAAGCAUCACUGUAAAUCACAAAACUUCCGGAUCCAUCUGGUACUGUAAGGACCGGUGCAGUAACUAACCUUUGCUUAAGGUUCUGAAAACUAUCCUCGCAAGCUGGACUCCAAACAAACGGAGUUCCCUUCCUUGUCAACUGAGUCAAGGGAGUAGCCAAACGUGAAAAAUCCUCCACAAACCUCCGGUAGUACCCUGCUAAACCCAGAAAACUACGAACCUCACUAACUGUAGAGGGUCGAGACCAACUGGUAACCGCUUCUAUCUUUGCAGGGUCUACAGAAACUCCCUCACUGGAAACCACAUGACCAAGAAAAGCCACCUGCUUCAACCAAAAUUCGCACUUAGAGAAUUUAGCAUAAAGUUUAUUGACUCGAAGAGUCUCUAACACUUUAUGUAAGUGUUCCUCAUGUUCGGCCUCAGUCUUGGAAUAAACCAAAAUAUCAUCAAUGAAGACUAUCACAAAAGUGUCUAAGAAAUCCUUAAACACCCUGUUCAUCAAAUCCAUAAAUACUGCAGGUGCAUUAGUCAAACCAAAAGACAUUACCAUGAAUUCAUAAUGUCCGUACCUCGAACGAAAAGCAGUCUUAGGAAUAUCACGGUCUCUAAUCCUCAACUGGUGAUAACCUGACCGUAAGUCAAUCUUAGAGAACACCGUGGCUCCCUGUAACUGAUCGAACAAAUCAUCGAUUCUAGGUAAAGGAUAUCUGUUCUUGAUUGUUACUUUAUUCAACUCUCUAUAGUCAAUGCAAAGACGCAUCGACCCAUCCUUCUUCUUCACAAACAAUACUGGUGCACCCCAAGGCGACACACUAGGUCGAAUAAAGCCUUUGUCAAGCAACUCCUGUAACUGUACCUUCAGUUAUUUCAACUCGACAGGAGCCAUCCUAUAAGGGGCUCUAGAAAUGGGAGUAGUGUCUGGCUCCAACUCAAUGGCAAAAUCAAUCUCUCUAUGUGGCGGUAGUCCUGGAAGAUCUUCUGGAAACACAUUGGGUAUUCUCUUACCACAGGUUCUGAAGUUAAGGAAGUCUCAUCUUCCCUAGUAUCCACCACACUUGCCAAAAUACUCCAGGUACCCUGGUUGAGCAGUUUACUAGCUUUCAUAGCUGAGAUUACUUUAGGCAGUACUACUGUUCCUACCCCUUGAAUUUAAAGCUAGAUUCGGUAGGGGGACUGAACACAACCUCUUUACGAGAGCAAUCAAUACUAGCAUGAUUAGUAGCUAGCCAAUCCAUACCUAAAAUUACAUCAAAGUCACGCAUAUCUAAUACCAACAAGGUUACGUCCAGCACACGACCAGCUAUCUCAAUUUCACAUGCUUUAAUCUUUUCCUUAGACAACAUAAUUUCUCCAGACGGUGUAGACACUGACAAAACAUAAUCUAAGGGUUCCACCUCUAAGCAUGCAUGCGUCACAAAAAGCGAUGAAAUAAAUGAAUGAGAAGACCCCGAGUCAAACAAGGUCAAGGCAAAAUGCCCUAACACUGGUAAUGUACCUGUCACCACUGUGCAGGCCUUCUCUGCUUAUGAUCUAUUAGUGGCAAAGAUUGUACCCCGCUGUGGAGGUUUCGCUCCCUGACUGCUCUGUCCAGCCCCAGUAGAUCUCAAGGGACAUCGAUCAGCCAUGUGUCCCUCUUGCUUGCACUUAUAACAGACUCUCGUUCCCAUCAAACAACGACCCAGGUGGUGUUUCCCACACGUAUUGCAUAGUGGCUUCUCUCGAGUAGUGUCUCCUGCCCCGCCAGAACUCUGCUGGAAACUGCAAAAAGGAUCGCCUAAUCUCAAGUUCCUCUGAGGAAUUCCCACAGUUCUCUGCUCUGCUUUCCUCUUUUGACCAGACGACGAUCCCUUAUCAAAACUCCUUGCCCGAAUUUCAUCCUUCCCAAUGCUCAUAUCCACUGCCAGGCGCAGCGCUUCAGCCUGGGUAGUGGGCUUUAGUGCUCGCACAAAGCCUCUAAUCUCAUCUCUCAAUCCUUUGACGAACCUAUCAGCUCUAGCCUGCUCAUUACCAACAAGUUCAGGGGCAAAACGCGACAGCAUAUCAAACUCCUGGUCGUACUCCUCGACUGUCAUAUGUCCUUGCUUCAAUUCCAAGAAUUCCUGGCUUUUGGCGUCUCUAAGGUUAGCCGAGAAAAACUUGGUAUAGAAGCAGUCUUUAAACUGAUCCCAGGUAAUCUGUCUCACAUCUCCACCUAGCAUACGCAUCGUAGUUCUCCACCAGAUAAUACCUCUGUCCCUCAGAAGAAAAGCAGCACACUGAACUCUAUGCUCCUCUGGACAUCUCAUGUAAUUAAAUAUGGUUUCCACAGAGGACAACCACAACUCAGCUUUAGUAGGAUCCUCCAGUGACCCAUCAAACGUCUGAGGGUCAUAUUUCCUAAAGUCCCUCAAAUGUUUCGCCUCAGCAGAAAGUUGGUUCGGUAAUGUCUGCGGCUGUUGUGCAGCCAAUCCUUGCGCAGGAGGGGCUGCUGGUGCAGGUGGAGCUGCUGGUACAGGGGGAACCACAGGUGCAGGUGGAACUGCAGGUGCCUGCUGGUUCUGAGCUAUAGCCGUCAUAAGCUCCGUGAACCUCUGCUCCAUGUGAGCAGACAGUGCAGCAAACUCAACAUGAGUCACGGGUGCAGUAGGAAUUCGCUAUUCAGCUUGACCCUCAGUAGGUUGAUUACGACCUGCUCCUCUACCCCAGCCUCUACGACCUCUCUACGUACACCUCUCUUUGGCGGCAUAAUUCCUAUUAUCCACCAACAACACUCUUUAAAAAGUCUUAAUCAUAAGCAUAAGAGUCUUUAUCGUCAUGCAAUCUAGUUUAAUUUAGGCAAACUCAUGCAAAUAAACCAUACAUAUAAGCAUAAAGAUACCUGACGAGAGACGAAGGGUCGCGUUAGCCAUAGGGACAUAAAACAUAGACUUACAUCGUAAGUCAGUCUACAGAACCUAAAACUUAGGCUCUGAUACCAACUGUAACGACCCAACUUUUCUAGGUAAGUCGAGGUCGUUAAUUUUUGACAAAAGACUUUGGUUGAUACAAAAUGAAAUGUAAGCCAAUUGAAAAACAACUUUAAGUCAGGCCUGAUUUUCAAAUAUUCCAAAAACUUAAAAAAAGUAUUUUACAAAUAAAAGUUUGUAAGCUAAGUUUCAAUACAACGUCUUAAACCUAAAAAAAAACAAUAAGCGGAAGCAAAAUAACACAUUUCCUAUGGCAAUCACGCUUCCUUCCUGCCCCUCGCCGGUUUGCCGCCUUUAUUACCUUUGCUGAAAAUUAAACAUAAGAAGGGUGAGUAUAAAAAUACCCAGUAAGAGACCCUCUACUGGUCCCGUCAGGGAAAAAUAAAUUGUUAACAUUCUAUUGGGACACCCUGUACAGUCGCAGUCUUGUGAUCCCGUAGGAUGCACAUUUCAGUCUAACGCCUCGAGGGACGUACAUUUCAGUGUAGUGUUCUGCAGAAACACAUAUCAGUCUAAUGCUCCCGAAGGUGCAGAAUAAUUGGUGAUCCCGUGGGACACCUACAAAGCACACAUCCCAAUAAAAGCUAACAAUUUUUCCCCUCAAUCCAUUCGUACCAUCUUUCAGUUACUUCAAAAUAUAAAGUUCUUUCACUCAACGUUCUAACAGUCAACUUAUCUCACUUUAGCCCAAUGUCUGUCAGUAACAUACUAAUACGUCAGUCAAUCAAACUAUAUAGUCAUAACGCCUCUCAGUUCACCAGCACACAGUCAUACUUUAGUAUAACGUACACCCAGUCUAAACGACAAUCACAAGUUCACAUCCGCAUCUCAUACAAACACAAUCUACAAUUGUCGUCCUGUCUACAUCCACACACAUAUAUAUAUAUUCCA